UCAGGCCUAACACAUGCAAGUCGAGGGGUAUAGUUCUUCGGAACUAAAAACCGGCGCACGGGUGCGUAACGCGUAUGCAAUCUACCUUUUACAGGGGGAUAGCCCAGAGAAAUUUGGAUUAAUACCCCAUAGUAUGUUGAAGUGGCAUCAUUUUAACAUGAAAGUUCCAACGGUAAAAGAUGGGCAUGCGUCCCAUUAGCUAGAUGGUAGGGGAACGGCUUACCAUGGCGACGAUGGGUAGGGGUCCUGAGAGGGAGAUCCCCCACACUGGGGGGGAGACACGGACCAGACUCCUACGGGAGGCAGCAGUGAGGAAUAUUG
rnacentral:rRNA from 1 species